GGUCUUUUCCUCCUGUUGAAUUUGGAACGAAACAGAGAAGACUUGCAUGGCCCCUGCGCAAGCAUGACACGCACAAAUCGUCCAUAUCAGGAGUACCCAGCUUUU
rfam:Cyclospora cayetanensis strain CHN_HEN01 contig_280, whole genome shotgun sequence.